AACGAACGCUGGCGGCAGGCCUAACACAUGCAAGUCGAGCUAAGCCUUCGGGCUUAGCGGCGGACGGGUGAGUAACGCGUGGGAACGUGCCCUUUGGUACGGAAUAGCCCCGGGAAACUGGGAGUAAUACCGUAUGUGGUCGAGAGACGAAAGAUUUAUCGCCAAAGGAUCGGCCCGCGUUGGAUUAGGUAGUUGGUGGGGUAAUGGCCUACCAAGGCGACGAUCCAUAGCUGGUUUGAGAGGAUGAUCAGCCACACUGGGACUGAGACACGGCCCAGACUCCUACGGGAGGCAGCAGUGGGGAAUCUUAGACAAUGGGGGGAACCCUGAUCUAGCCAUGCCGCGUGAUCGAUGAAGGCCUUAGGGUUGUAAAGAUCUUUCAGUGGGGAAGAUAAUGACUGUACCCACAGAAGAAGCCCCGGCUAACUCCGUGCCAGCCGCCGCGGUAAUAC
rnacentral:rRNA from 1 species